rnacentral:rRNA from 1 species
AACUCUCAACAACGGAUAUCUUGGCUCCCGUAUCGAUGAAGAACGUAGCGAAAUGCGAUACGUAGUGUGAAUUGCAGAAUUCCGUGAACCAUCGAAUCUUUGAACGCAACUUGCGCCUGAGGCUUCGGCCAAAGGCAUGUCUGCCUCAGCGUCGGCUCAC